UGGGAAACAGGUUAAUAUUCCUGUACUUGGUGUUACUGCGAAGGGGGGACGGAGAAGGCUAUGUUGGCCGGGCGACGGUUGUCCCGGUUUAAGCGUGUAGGCUGGUUUUCCAGGCAAAUCCGGAAAAUCAAGGCUGAGGCGUGAUGACGAGGCACUACGGUGCUGAAGCAACAAAUGCCCUGCUUCCAGGAAAAGCCUCUAAGCAUCAGGUAACAUCAAAUCGUACCCCAAACCGACACAGGUGGUCAGGUAGAGAAUACCAAGGCGCUUGAGAGAACUCGGGUGAAGGAACUAGGCAAAAUGGUGCCGUAACUUCGGGAGAAGGCACGCUGAUAUGUAGGUGAAGCGACUUGCUCGUGGAGCUGAAAUCAGUCGAAGAUACCAGCUGGCUGCAACUGUUUAUUAAAAACACAGCACUGUGCAAACACGAAAGUGGACGUAUACGGUGUGACGCCUGCCCGGUGCCGGAAGGUUAAUUGAUGGGGUCAGCGCAAGCGAAGCUCUUGAUCGAAGCCCCGGUAAACGGCGGCCGUAACUAUAACGGUCCUAAGGUAGCGAAAUUCCUUGUCGGGUAAGUUCCGACCUGCACGAAUGGCGUAAUGAUGGCCAGGCUGUCUCCACCCGAGACUCAGUGAAAUUGAACUCGCUGUGAAGAUGCAGUGUACCCGCGGCAAGACGGAAAGACCCCGUGAACCUUUACUAUAGCUUGACACUGAACAUUGAGCCUUGAUGUGUAGGAUAGGUGGGAGGCUUGGAAGUGUGGACGCCAGUCUGCAUGGAGCCGACCUUGAAAUACCACCCUUUAAUGUUUGAUGUUCUAACGUUGACCCGUAAUCCGGGUUGCGGACAGUGUCUGGUGGGUAGUUUGACUGGGGCGGUCUCCUCCUAAAGAGUAACGGAGGAGCACGAAGGUUGGCUAAUCCUGGUCGGACAUCAGGAGGUUAGUGCAAUGGCAUAAGCCAGCUUGACUGCGAGCGUGACGGCGCGAGCAGGUGCGAAAGCAGGUCAUAGUGAUCCGGUGGUUCUGAAUGGAAGGGCCAUCGCUCAACGGAUAAAAGGUACUCCGGGGAUAACAGGCUGAUACCGCCCAAGAGUUCAUAUCGACGGCGGUGUUUGGCACCUCGAUGUCGGCUCAUCACAUCCUGGGGCUGAAGUAGGUCCCAAGGGUAUGGCUGUUCGCCAUUUAAAGUGGUACGCGAGCUGGGUUUAGAACGUCGUGAGACAGUUCGGUCCCUAUCUGCCGUGGGCGCUGGAGAACUGAGGGGGGCUGCUCCUAGUACGAGAGGACCGGAGUGGACGCAUCACUGGUGUUCGGGUUGUCAUGCCAAUGGCACUGCCCGGUAGCUAAAUGCGGAAGAGAUAAGUGCUGAAAGCAUCUAAGCACGAAACUUGCC
rnacentral:rRNA from 1 species